GCCGGGGUAGCUCAAUCGGUAGAGCGUGUGGCUCUUAACCUCAAGGUCGUGGGUUCGAGCCCCACCUUCGGCU